GGGGAGGGGGAUCAGGGGGUUCCUGAUAAUGAAUGUGCACACAUCUAACCACAAAUUUCAACAGACUGGUUUAAAAUAUCAACACUUUCGGAAGAUUUAUGUGCAUGCGUAGCAGUGCUCCACUUGAGUUAGCAAAUAGAGGAGAAAUCAAUAAUGGCUAAACUGGAUUAAGAGGCCCCAGAAGGACGCUGAAGGGUUGGUAGGAUUCACACACCCACGCGAAGUCAUCAGAUGGAGGUAAUCUAGCACUUACAAACACAACCUGAAAUGAAAAACCAGUAUAAAGCGUGGGAUUAAUCUGGGGUGCAGGGCCAGUGCAGUUAGUAGAUUUUUACCUCCAGAAAGCCCUUCAUGCCCAAACAACCUUCAUGUUUUGUAGAAGCCCACAUAUAAUUUAAGGUAAUGUUUAUUCAAAUAAUAUGCUCUGUGUGACACUGAAAUGGUGUGUGUUAAAGACCCACUGGACCAAGCCCGCGUCCAGGGAACUUAAAAUCAACAGAGAUGCAGACAGAAAUAGUGCACACAGUUAAGCUAAUCAACACAAGAAACAAGGAAAAUUAUGGCAUACGGAAAAGCCUUUAUGGAAAGUGGAACAUUUUUUGAGUAAAAUUUGCUAUGUCUUUCCUGUGAGUCUGUUUCCCCACAGAGGUCGCCUGAACUAACAUGUAAGACCAGAGCUGGCCCAGGAGCUGUAGACCAAUGUUCUAGGAAUUUGCAUGAGGAGAAAAACUGUACAUUUCAUUGGAGGCAAUUCUUAUCUCCUGGCCCCUUUCUACAGAAAGUCAAGUGCUCUCCUGUUAGUAACAAAGUAGUAAAGAAAUGCUUUUAGUAAAAAAAACUAGCAUACUCUAAUUCUAGGCCCAGGUCAUUAUAUUUAGCGAGCAAAUCCAAGACCUAAAUAGCUUUCGUACACAAAUCUUGAAAAUAGAACCUUUGAUCAUAAACUUGCUUUUCUGUUCCCCAAAGUGAGGGAUGCUAUCAAUUAAAAAAAAUACUCUCUCCAAAAUCUAUUAAUCUUAGAGUGCCUAACCAAACAGACUGAUGACACUUUAUUCCUAUAUUUUAUUUCCUUCUCCUCCUCCUCUUCUUUUUUGAACAAGGAAACAAACCCAUAUCUAAUGUAUAUGACAAUUUCACACACUUCUUUCAUUUAAAUUAUUCUACCCUAAAUUAUACUCGAUUUCAAUCUUCUGCAUUACAGCAGGGGAAGUAGGGAGAGGAUAAAUUAAAUAAAGCAUUUUUUCUAAAAAUGAGCCAGAUAUCAAUACCAAUGUAAUCCCAAAAAGAGUACGAAGGAAAAAUGCACAAAAUAUGAAGAAAAUGUAUAUUCAAGACAAAACCUCUCCCCAUACAGGGAUAGUAAAUAGAAAUGUUAAAAAAGCAUGGGAGGAAGUUCCCAUGUAGCAUAGAGCGUUGCCACAACUAUGCUGCAGGUCCCAAAUGCGGCACGGGAUCAAUCCCUAGCCCUGGAAACUUCCACAUGCCAAACGCAUAGCCAAAAAAAAAAAAUAAGAACUGGAGACCCAAAGCCAAAGCUUCAACACCUAAAAGCAACUGAGGCUAUGAGGCUAGAACACAGGGCAAAGGAGCUGGCAGCUCAGUGGGUGGUAUGGGUCUCUGACAGUGCAAGGAAGGAACCCACUGGAAAUGUUCUGUGCAAGUCCACUGUUUCAUAGUUAAAGAAACAAACUAUAGACCACAUUCUCCUCUUUCCCCUCCUAGUAUUUAGAAAGGAAUGGAGAUUUUACCCAAACUAUCUCCCUUUGAGUUAAUCCCUAUUCAUAUUAGAUCAUCUGAUACUUACAAAAACACAAUAAAUGCAGAGAAUUUUGAGUUUAAAGUGCAAAAUAAUAAUAAUAGUAAAAAUUUUGCAAUAUUUCCUCUCCGGAAAUCUAGAAAAUAAAAGAGAGGAAACCUUCCAUAUGCUAAAGAAAAAGGUGCACAAACCUGAGUUUGGUAGGAGGGAGUGAGAGGGGAUGUGAAUAAUGGAGAAAUUCCCGUUCAACUUCUCUGAGGCACUGAUCUGAGAAAGACAGAAUUCCAGGCUCUCAAAUCACUGUCUGCCUGACUUAUAGACACUCUCUAAAUAUUAAGAAUCUUCCUAGGUGAGAACCCACACACAAGAGGAACGCACCAUUAACCAGCAAACAGUGUGUUCAGGAUGAGGGGCCUUCUGUUCAUUUACUGCUUUAGCUUUAACUUGGAUGGAAAGAAAUGAAGCCAGACUUUCCCUUUCCACUUCUCCUUCUUCGGUUUCACUCCCUUGUGAUUCAUGGGUCUGAAGAGGUUAACUCAAUUUUUUAAAAUACUAUUUUUUCAAGGAUAACAAAACACACAAGGAGCUAAUAAACAAAGAAGUGCAUAUUAUGACGAGCCAAGUGUCAGACCAUGAACCUCAGUAAGACGCUAGAAUAAAAAAAAUGAAAAGAAUGUAAGCUUUCAAUUUUGUGUUUUCAUUUUCUCUUCUCAUUUACCACUCAGCGCAACUAAGGAAAGCAACAAGAAUAGUGUGGUAAACAAUAGGCUAGAGUUCAAAUGGGCCAACUUCAAGUAUUUUCCUUUACUACAAGUAAAUCUUAAGGUGGGCCAGAAAGGAAGAGAAAUAAAUCAACAAUACCCACUGAUCAUCUCUAUGAGCAGAUCUCUGGUUUGCCUGUCUGAAGUGUUCAAUGGAACAUAAUUUGCCUAAAAGGAAAUUUGAAACUUAAAAGAAUUGGCUUGAAACUGAAAUUUAAAUAACAUCUUGAAAUCCCAAGUCAAAUACAUUAACAAAUGAUAAAGGUUUCUGUUGGAGGAAAAAUCCUAUAGAAGUGAAGUGAUUUUUAUAUAUUUCUUGUCAUGUAGUCACAAAACCAAACUGUUUCUACGUGAUUCUAAUUCUAAUCCUCUACAAUGGGAUCCUAGAUGGCUGGGUGGGUGGUUAUUUAAAAAAUGAGCAUUUUGGAGUUCCUGCAGCAGCACAGUGGAUUAAGAAUCUGACUGCAGCAGCUCCAGUUGCUACAGAGGUAUGGGGACAAUCCCUGGCCCAGUACAGUAGAUUAAAGGAUUUGUGGUGUUGUCAUAGCUGUGGCUCAUAUUCAGUCUCUGGUCUGGGAACCUCCCUAUGUUGUCAGCGCAGCCAUAAACUGGGGGAGGGGAGCAUUUUGCCACGCUGGAAAGAAACAAGACAAAAUUUGAAGGGAACAGAAAGAUCAUCUCACUGUCCACCUCAUUUGACAAAUGGCAUAGUUUACACUUUUAGAAGGAUCACCUUGUGAAUAGGAGCUUCUGAGAGUAAAAAAAUAAUCUUAAUAAACCAUAUGCGGAUUUGGGGCAUGAAGCCAAGAGUUCCUGGGUUCAGAAGGAAGGGCUGGAUUGGGCCAGUUCUGAGAUGCGGGAUUUGAAAGAGGUAGACUAGACUGCAACGGGUAGGCCCAGGUUUUGUGAGGAUGCAAGUCAUACAAUUUGGGGGCUUCACUUUAGGAAAAUAAUAUAAAAUUAUCAAUAAAAUGAAGUUUCAUUGUGAAUAUCAGAAUGACAAAUUAGAUCACAACAAAUCACCAUUGUCUUAAAGAUUUGCAUACUUUUCUUCUGAGAUAUCUUUAGUUUGGCAAAAAUGAGGAAAUAGAAGUGUUUUCUGAUUGCAACCCAGCUUCCCCUAUACAUGUGAAAAAAACCUACAACUCCCCAGCAUUCUCAGCACGCCCAUGCCUAUGAAGCUCAGAAUCUUGAGCUUCAGUAACUUCACAUUUUCCAGAAUUUCUCCUUAUAGGUGUAAAUCACCUUUAAGAAGGAUUCUACAUUAGAUGCCCAUUAAACCUAUUCAGUGCAGCUGGGCUAUGAAUCAGGCGAUGCAGACUUAAUUCUGAGCCCUGCUGCUGACACAAUGGGACACUGAGGCAAGGUACCUCUUUGGGCUUCAAUUUUCUCUGUGGUUAUACUACAUGCUCAUAAGAUGUCUUCCCAUUAUAAUACCAUUCAAUGCCCAGUACCUCAAUCUUCAAUGUCAUCAAGCUUACUAAACGCUACUGCCCUUGCUCAAGCUAGACCUCUGAGUCUUGCCUGAUUCCAAACCUCUCCUUUCUCCCCAAAUCCAAUCAGUCACUACAUCUUAUAAACCUCUCCCAUCUAACUUCACAUCAACCUGGUCUGGCCAGCACCACGCCUCUGACAUUUCUGCCAGCAUCUCAUCUCACUUUGCUCACUCUGUGCUGCUACCUCUAUAAUCUCUUUUAAAAUAACAGUCUUGGAGUUCCUGCUGUGAUGCAGCUGGUUAAGGAUCCAGCAUUUUCUCUGAGGCAGCUUAGAUUUGAUCUGUGCCCCAGCACAGCAAGUUAAGGAUUCGGUGCUGCUGCAGCUGUGGCUUGGAUUUGAUCCCUGGUCCAGGAACUUCCCAUGCCUAUGGCACAGCCAAAAAAUAAAUAUAUAAAAAAAUUAAGAUAUGAGUUCCCAUUGUGGUUUAGCAGGUUAAGAACCUAGCAUAAUCUCCAUGAGGACAUGGGUUCCAUCCCUUGGCCUUUCUCAAGGGGUUAAGGAUCCAGUGUUGCUGCAGGCUAUGGGGUAGGGAACGGAUGCAUCUCGGAUCCAGUAUUGCCAUGGCUGUGGCAUAAGCCUAAAGCUGCGGCUCUGAUUUCACCCCUAGCCUGGGAACAUUUAUGUGCCACACACAGGUGCAGCCUUAAAAAACAUAAAAAUAAAAAAAUAAAUAAAAACAGCAUUCAUGUCAUCUUCUCCCAAUCUUUAAAGCAUUUCUCUUGCUUCCCAUUUAAGUUUAAAUUUCAUAAUAUAACCUACAAGGACAAGUCAGAUACAGCUUCAAAUCAAAUCAAGUCAAAAAGGUAGGAACCAAUGCCUCUUUGACUCUCAUAUGUGACCUUAGACAUGGUGUUCUGCCAACCUAAAGAAUUUCAAUAUUUAUUGAUGGUCUGACUGACUGACCAUACGUAUAUUGAUGAUGAACUUUUCCAGGUAUAAAGAACAUGUUUCCGUUACAUGAGCAAUUAUUGUAGUAAGCUUUUAGAACAGAGUGUGAUCAAAACCCCCGACUAACUGCAACAUAAGAGCAGUGCCAUUUCAUGAAAUUCCAAUUUUAGGAAUGACAUUCCAGACACUCUGGAUUUCCACUUAGAAGCCCAAGCUGAUUAAAGGAUUAAAUGCUAUGGAUAAUUCAAUGCUGUGUAUCUCUUUGCGGAGGGCUGGGGAUUUGUAAAACAUGUCUAUGAUCCAAUCCAAAGGUUUAUUGAUUUUCUGUCCUUUCACCCAAGAGCGUUAGCUUUCAUGCACAGAUCUGUGAGAUAUCUGAAGGUUGGCCAGGACACUGCAGAAACCCACUUCCCAGUCUGUGAGUUUCUUCUGUCUAGGAAAGGACAGCUCUGGAUAAGUGUAAGUGCAUCAGAGUGCAGAUCUGAAAGCAGAGCCUGAAUGCCAGGUCUUCCAACAGUUUCCUGUGGGCCCCUCAACCCUACUUCCUCUGUGCAAUGGGGACCAAGCGAAAUCAAGUUGGUAUGGGUGGCAGAGUGAAGACAAAGUUAGAAGUCGAGAAGGUUCUGGUUACAGAGUCAAAUUUAAUUCCUUAAGUGACUUUAGUCAAUUCAUGGAACUGUUUUCUUUUCCCUAUCAAAUAGGAGUGAUAAAAUUAGAAUUCCCUUUUCUAACUAAAUGAUUAUCAUCAGUUUACUGAGUACUUAAAAUUUCUUGUCCCUCUGUUAAGCACUUUGCAUAACAUAAUCUCUAUGUAUUUUAAACUAUCCUAUGAAGUCAAUACUUUUUUUAUUAUUUUUAUGGUCUAUUUUCAGAUGGCAAAUCAGAGAGUUUAAGGAAUUUUCCUAACGUCAGCUAGCACACAAGUAGGAAAGCAAGGAUUGAAACCCAAAUAAACUGAGACCAGAGCUCAGGUGAUUAUCUACCAUGCUACAUGGCCUUUUUAGACAGGGAAAAAGAACAGCUUUAAAGAGUUUCAAAGAUUAUACUUGCUUUUUUAAUCAGCCAGAGGAAGCU
rnacentral:lncRNA from 1 species